rnacentral:RNase_MRP_RNA from 1 species
AGCCAACACACAGGGAGUUCGCUCCUUCGCAUGCCGCAGGGGAAGUCCCUGUGCCUUGGGGCAGAGAGAGAGACCAAGAGGCCAGAUCCUGAAGCUUGCAGUGAAGCCUCGUGUGGAGCUGUUUGGCGGAGCUGGCCACUUGCACCAGCAAAGUCAUGCCGUGAGCACUCCAAGGAGUGCUAACUGAACGGGGCUCAC